GUCAAGCUUCCAAGAAAAGCCCUAGACCCGUUAAGGCAUGAUUGCCUGUACCCGAAACCGACACAGGUGGGGUGGUAGAGAAUACCGAGGGGCGCGAGGUAACUCUCUCUAAGGAACUCGGCAAAAUGGCCCCGUAACUUCGGGAGAAGGGGUGCCAGCGAGAGCUGGUCGCAGUGAAGAGGCCCAGGCGACUGUUUACCAAAAACACAGGUCUCCGCUAAGUCGCAAGACGGUGUAUGGGGGCUGACGCCUGCCCAGUGCCGGAAGGUUAAGGAAGCUGGUCAGCGCAAGCGAAGCUGGCGACUGAAGCCCCGGUGAACGGCGGCCGUAACAAUAACGGUCCUAAGGUAGCGAAAUUCCUUGUCGGGUAAGUUCCGACCCGCACGAAAGGCGUAACGAUCUGGGCGCUGUCUCGGAGAGAGGCUCGGCGAAAUAGAAUUGUCUGUGAAGAUGCGGACUACGUGCACCCGGACAGAAAGACCCUAUGAAGCUUUACUGUAGCUUGGUAUUGUGCUCGGGCUCGGAAUGCGCAGGAUAGGUGGGAGGCAUUGAUCCAUUGCUUGCGGGUGAUGGUGAGCCACUGGUGAGAUACCACUCUUUUCGAGCUUAGGUUCUAACGGCCACCCGUUAUCCGGGGGCCGGACAGUAUCUGGUGGGCAGUUUGACUGGGGCGGUCGCCUCCUAAAAGGUAACGGAGGCGCGCAAAGGUCUGCUCAGGCUGGUUGGAAAUCAGCCGACGAGUGUAAAAGCAGAAGCAGGCUUGACUGUGAGACCUACAAGUCGAACAGGGAGGAAACUCGGCUUUAGUGAUCCGACGGUUCUGCGUGGAAGGGCCGUCGCUCAACGGAUAAAAGUUACUCUAAGGAUAACAGGCUGAUCUCCCCCAAGAGUUCACAUCGACGGGGAGGUUUGGCACCUCGAUGUCGGCUCAUCGCAACCUGGGGCUGAAGUCGGUCCCAAGGGUUGGGCUGUUCGCCCAUUAAAGCGGUACGCGAGCUGGGUUCAGAACGUCGUGAGACAGUUCGGUCCAUAUCCGGUGCACGCGCAGGAAUAUUGAGAGGAUUUCUCCCUAGUACGAGAGGACCGGGAGGAACGCACCUCUGGUGUGCCAGUUAUCGUGCCAACGGUAAACGCUGGGUAGCCAUGUGCGGAGAGGAUAACCGCUGAAAGCAUCUAAGUGGGAAGCCCACCUCAAGAUGAGUAUUCCCAUGGCGUUAAGCCAGUAAGGUCACGGGAAGAACACCCGUUGAUAGGCUCUAUGUGGAAGCGCAGUAAUGCGUGAAGCAGAGGAGUACUAAUAGACCGAGGGCUUGAUC
rnacentral:rRNA from 1 species